CCUACGGGAGGCAGCAGUGAGGAAUAUUGGUCAAUGGGCGGGAGCCUGAACCAGCCAAGCCGCGUGAGGGAAGAAGGUACAGCGUAUCGUAAACCUCUUUUGUCAGGGAACAAAGGCGGGGACUAGUCCCCGGAUGAGGGUACCUGAAGAAAAAGCAUCGGCUAACUCCGUGCCAGCAGCCGCGGUAAUACGGAGGAUGCGAGCGUUAUCCGGAUUUAUUGGGUUUAAAGGGUGCGCAGGCGGCCUGUUAAGUCAGCGGUAAAAGCCCGGGGCUCAACCCCGGCGAGCCGUUGAAACUGGCGGGCUGGAGUUGGAGAGAAGUACGCGGAAUGCGCGGUGUAGCGGUGAAAUGCUUAGAUAUCGCGCAGAACCCCGAUUGCGAAGGCAGCAUACCGGCUCCACACUGACGCUGAGGCAUGAAAGCGUGGGUAUCGAACAGGAUUAGAUACCCGGGUAGUC
rnacentral:rRNA from 1 species